GCACAAGCGGUGGAUGAUGUGGAUUAAUUCGAUGCAACGCGAAAACCUUACCUACCCUUGACAUGUCCGGAAUCCCGAAGAGAUUUGGGAGUGCUCGCAAGAGAACCGGAACACAGGUGCUGCAUGGCUGUCGUCAGCUCGUGUCGUGAGAUGUUGGGUUAAGUCCCGCAACGAGCGCAACCCUUGUCAUUAGUUGCCAUCAUUUGGUUGGGCACUCUAAUGAGACUGCCGGUGACAAACCGGAGGAAGGUGGGGAUGACGUCAAGUCCUCAUGGCCCUUAUGGGUAGGGCUUCACACGUCAUACAAUGGUCGGUACAGAGGGUUGCCAACCCGCGAGGGGGAGCUAAUCCCACAAAGCCGAUCGUAGUCCGGAUCGCAGUCUGCAACUCGACUGCGUGAAGUCGGAAUCGCUAGUAAUCGUGGAUCAGCAUGUCACGGUGAAUACGUUCCCGGGUCUU
rnacentral:rRNA from 1 species